rnacentral:rRNA from 1 species
GAUGAACGCUAGCUACAGGCUUAACACAUGCAAGUCGAGGGGCAGCAUGAUUGAAGCUUGCUUCAAUCGAUGGCGACCGGCGCACGGGUGAGUAACACGUAUCCAACCUGCCGAUAACUCGGGGAUAGCCUUUUGAAAGAAAGAUUAAUUCCCGACUGUAUAUUAUUUCCGCAUGGUUUCACUAUUAAAGAAUUUCGGUUAUCGUUGGGGAUGCGUUCCAUUAGAUAGUUGUCGGGGUAACGGCCCACCAAGUCAACGAUGGAUAGGGGUUCUGAGAGGAGGGUCCCCGACAGUGGAACUGGGACACGGGCCAAACACCUACGGGAGAGAGCAGUAAGGGAGAUUGGACAAUGGACGAGAGUCUAGACCAGCCAAGUAGCGUGAAGGAUGACUGCCCUAGGGGUUGUAAACUUCUUGUAUACGGGAAUAAAGUGGAGUAUGCAUACUCCUUUGUAUGUACCGUAUGAAUAAGGAUCGGCUAACUCCGUG